CAGGUUAAUAAGUGGGAUUUCUUACCUUAUAAAUAGUCAUGAAAAUAAAUAAAACCCAUUGAAUUAGAAAUGUGGCUCCAGACAGAGCAUUUUAAAUUCACUUCUUAGAAAGCCAACACUAAAGAGUCACUCUGAUCAAUGCAGCAUCAGUGUUUUCUCUGCUACACCUAAAACCGAGCAUCUCUUCCUGUUGCAGCUUCCAGUAAAGUCAGAGCCGUGUGUCUCCCUAAAGCUGGUCUAAACAUCACUGACCCCGAGAAGAGCUGGGUGACAUACUUCGGCUCCACAACAAACAAAGGUGAGACAGAAGUUCUAAUAAUCAAAGCUAUCCACUAGAUGGCGCUAAGGUUCAGGACAUAAAACCACUGUAGUAAAGCCUCUUUGAGGAGCGAUACGCUCAGAGACGAAAGGCAGUGAUGAGUAGCUCACCUGCUUGGUUUCUCUUUCAGAUUCUGGUUCUCUAUACCUGAUGGAGGCUGCAGUGCCACUCAUCCCCUCUGCAGAGUGCAACAGCUCAAAGGCAUCCAGCGGCAGGAUAUUGCAGGAUAUGCUCUGUGCCGCAGAGUCAGAACCCGGAGCCGGCGUGUGCCAUGUAAGAGUAACUCACCAGUAACAUGAUGCACAUGUAUCACAAACAGUUGACAGAGUUUACUGCACAACUUUGCCCUGAGCAAAGCCAGGCAGUCGCUGCCUUGCGUUCAGGCAUCAGUGGUGCAUUUCCUGAGAUUGUGUCGAUAUAAACUCACCUGAUGCUGUGAAAGAGACAAAUGACUGCCUGCUUUUUCAACCACAAACAGGUUUCUGUUCAGGGAGGAAUUUAAAGCAUUUUUCUGCUCUUAUGUAAUUUGCUUUAAGGCACAGUUGGACAAGUCCCGCAUUAUGCGGCACACAUGGCAACAGAUUAAAAUAAACACAUUUCUGUGUCUUAUAACAAACCACUUAUACAGCCAACCCUACAAGGCAUGUUCAGUUAGAGCUCAGCUGACCAUGAUGUCACAUUACUGAAACUAUUCAGUCCUCUUCAUUGAUAAAAGAAAUCCCUCAAAGAACAUUUUUGAAAAAAAUCAUAUCAAUCUGAGUCUUUGUGUUGCACAUGCAGAUCACAGACUGAUUUUUUAUGAUUUGCAUGAAUCUCUAGUUGACCGCUGUCUGCUGUAUUUGUCCUGAACUUCAGCCUGACAGCAGCGGUCACCUGGUUUCCCAGACGGAUGGACUGUGGUGGCUCUCAGGUGAUGGUGUGUGGGGCGAACACUGCAAUGGACAGAAUAAACCAGGUGUCUACACUAACAUCAAACACCAUCUGAACUGGAUCCAUCAACAGAUGCAGAAGCAUCAAGAUGUCUGACGACAGGACCAAAGGCGAUUAGCAAGACAAGUUAUCUGCAUUGUAACAUUGUCUUCAUGUUUGUCUAUAAUACUUUAUAAUGCAGAUUGUUUUUUUUGUUUUUUUACUUCCUUAAAGAAAAUGUUUUCAUAGCCUAAAAGAAAAAACAGAUCAGUCACAAUAUUACAUCUCUGCUUACCCCCAUAUCUAGAAAGUCCCAAAUGUCUUUUAACAGUGAAAGGAUUUCCACAGGGAGGGCGGAAAAAAGGAGAUAUAUAGAAUAUAAAACAAUGAUUCCAUGUAUUUUAUGAAAGUAUUAAGCUAUUGUCUCUCUGUCUUUAUUUAAAUCAAGGGGUAAAAACUACCUGUUUGAUUAAUAAUAACUAUAAUAUUGGGCAAUAUAUUUUAUGUAUAUUUGAGUAUUACUGAUGAUUUUGAUGAUGGCCAUUGAGAAAAUAUGCUUAUUGCUUGUUUCAUAAUAAGUUAGUGUAUUAUGUUUUUAUCAUGUAAAGAACUUUGAACUGCCCUGAUGCUGAAAAGUACUACACAAAUAAACUUAUGAUUUAUUAUUAUUAUUUAAAUGAUUUAAUACAGGUCAAAUUAAAAAUAAAUAAAAAAAUAUUUCAUUAUUUGAGCCAUUUGAAAUUGGAUGUUUUAUAUAAUUCAUAUUUUCAGACUGGUUCUAUUUAAAUAUUUUUUUAUUCUAAAGGACAAGCAAUAAUCAGGCCACUGUGUGGCUAGCGAACAAAUCCAGCCGUUCAUAAAGAUAUUGUCAAUCGCAGUUUUACUCAUAACUUAAUAAUUUGGGAUGAUUAGUUUUUUGACAAAGGGUCCCAUUGGUUUAUAUAAUCUUUUCCCCUGUAAAUAUUAAGUCAUUUGAAAACUGCAUUUUAUUUUCACUCAGAUUGCCUGACGUUAAAAUUAGCUUGAUGAUGUUGAACAUUUAUUUAUUUGAGACAAAAUAAAAACAUAACUAAUCUGUAAGCUGAGCUCCACUAUCUAAUGACUGCCUUUACAGCUCACAGUCUUCGAUGCCCCAAGUUGUCUUUUAAUUAUUUGCUUAAUAUGAAACUGAGCCCAAUUCCUCUGCCAUCUCAGCCACUGCAAGCAUUCAGCUUGCCAAUGUAAGCAAAUCUUCAUCAGUGCAGACAGAGCAUCUGCAUAGAGUGGCAUAGAAUUAAGUAUUGUUAAUAAUGUACUUGUGUAGCACAUUUAAAAAUAGCAAAACAAAAUCAGGUAAAUUCAUAUGCUAUUAAAGCCCAAAUAAGCUGGACAAUGGUGGGAUUGAGAUAUAAGAAGGGAAAAAAAACCCAAAAAAUAACACAAGAGAUCAUUUUUUUCUCUUUGGCUCCCAAAAUAUUUUUUAAUUUAAAAUGAUUGAUUUGUCUUAAAUGAUUUUAUGUACAACACAGUUACAACGUUUGGCACUAAAAGCAUACACAGUUAAAUAAAUGAACAGUUCAUGUGUAUGUCGAAAUAAAGUUUUACAUGUUCAGGGUUCAGACACUGGGCAACAUUAGUAAGACAGUAAGAGCGUACAGCUCAGGACAACUCACUGAAGUUUAAAUCUACAUUAUUCCACACUGUUUUUUUCUCCUCCCCAGCUUUACUGGUGAGACGUCUUGUGUAGCAUUAAUCUGGCUGAUGUGCAAAGACUUUUUAUUUGGAAGCCAUCAAGUCAGCUAGAUUUACAAGACUGCUAAAAAUAGUCCUACCCAGAAUGAUGAGAUGUUUUUCCCAACUUAUGCACUUCAGGAAUCCUUCACAUAUACUUCUUGCUUUGUAAAACGAAAUGUGCUGUAUAAAAACAGCCUUUGAUAUUAGGCUAUGGGAUUAGAAAUAAUGGCGCAAAAAA